GAUGAAGAACGUAGCGAAAUGCGAUACUUGGUGUGAAUUGCAGAAUCCCGCGAAUCAUCGAGUUUUUGAACGCAAGUUGCGCCCGAAGCCAUUCGGCCGAGGGCACGUCUGCCUGGGUGUCACGCAUCGUUGCCCCCCCAAACUCCGGUUCGGGCGGGGCGGAAGUUGGCCUCCCGUGCGUGCCUGCGCGCGCGGUUAGCCCAAAAGCGAGUCCUCGGCGACGAGCGCCACGACAAUCGGUGGUUUUUUUACCCUCGUUCCUCGUCGUGCGUGUCCCGUCGCCCGAACGCGCUCUUGUGACCCUCCCGCGUCGCCUCGGCGGCGCUCCCAACGCGACCCCAGGUCAGGCGGGACUACCCGCUGAGUUUAAGCAUAUCAAAGCGGAGGA
rnacentral:misc_RNA from 1 species